rnacentral:rRNA from 1 species
GACAGAGGUGCCGAGCGUUAGGCGGAAUCACUGGGCUUAAAGCGUGUGUAGGCGGACUUCUAAGUAACCUUGUGGAAAUCCCACGGCUCAACCGUGGAACUGCUUGGUAUACUGGUCGUCUUGAGCCAUCUAGGGGCUGUCGGAACAAAUGGUGGAGCGGUGAAAUGCGUAGAUAUCAUUUGGAACGCCAAAGGUGAAACAGACAGCUGGGGAUGUGCUGACGCUGAGACACGAAAGCCAGGGGAGCGAACGGG